GCACUUGUAGGUCAGUGGUAGAAUUAUCACCUUCCAUGAGAUAAACCCAGGUUUGAUUCCUGGCCAAAGCA
rnacentral:tRNA from 1 species